AUGUAAUAUGUCUCAAUUGGCCAUCAUUUCCAAGAAGCUAAGUAUGUCUGCACUACAAUCACAAGAAUACAAAUACUUUUCACGUGCGUUUCCCACUUAGAACACUUGACUGAUAGUGCCUAAUUUACUAGUAAUAAAUAAUAAUAAUAAUUAUUAUUCAUUAUGAUAACAACACCCUUAUAUAUAAAGGGGAAAGACAAGCCUACUAGCAUAGCAGCAAAUUAAAGAGAACAUACAACAUCAAAUUUCAUCAAACACCUUCAUUCUAUCUCUAUUGUAGCACGUACUUCUGUCCAAGCUAGUACAUAUCAUAAAAGUGACAUGGCAAAUGAAAUCAAGUACUUGUUCUUGGCGUCGUGUGUUGUGGAGUUUGCGCCCUCUCCAGUGAUUCCUGUGAGGAAAGUUUCACUUUUUCCUCGAUUGGAAACUAUUGCAGAAGAAGAUGCUGAAGAAUUUGAUGAUGAUGAUAUUGAUGAAGAAUUGGUCCACUCUAUGUAAAGUUGCACAAAGAAGAAUGGAUGGAGUUCCACUUCCACAACAAUCGACAUUAGAGUUUUUGAAUUUGUCAAGUUGUGGUGUUCAAAUAAAGAUUUUGUUUUGAUUUCCUUUUGUAAUCUGAUGAAUAAUUAUUACUGUAUUCUUCUCUAUUGUGUGGCUAGAUCUCAUUAUUCCAAUCUCCAUGUCCCAACUCAACAAUAAUCAAUUAAUCAUAUAUGGAAAAUAAUUGGAAAUAAAUUUCCUAAAACUUGAAGGAAAAUUUCUCUUGAAAUUGAAUAAUAUUAAUUACACACAAUAGUUUUUUUAUUUUUUAUUUUUUG
rnacentral:lncRNA from 1 species